AUAAAUGCAGAGAAGAGGAAUAGUAGGCUGAAAGUCAUAUCAGAGAGCCGCCGGAGGGUGCGAGGCGGUUAUGAAUCUGUCAGUUGAACUCGCCUUGGAGCAGCCUGUUGAAGAGAAGACCGGAUGUAUUUUUGAAAGUAUAUCUGUUCUUGUGUAGGCAGAGCCGGAAUCCCCCGUUAUGGGAGCUGAAAGAGCAUACCGAACGUCUCAUGCCCUCAUCCGGGGAUAAGAGCAUACACGGUAUGAAAUAGAGUGGUACCGCGCAGUAUAGAAUAUAUGCCUGCGUCUCUAUG
rnacentral:ncRNA from 1 species